rnacentral:rRNA from 1 species
CUACGUGCCAGCAGCCGCGGUAAUACGUAGGUGGCAAGCGUUGUCCGGAUUUAUUGGGCGUAAAGCGAGCGCAGGCGGUUCCUUAAGUCUGAUGUGAAAGCCCCCGGCUCAACCGGGGAGGGUCAUUGGAAACUGGGGAACUUGAGUGCAGAAGAGGAGAGUGGAAUUCCAUGUGUAGCGGUGAAAUGCGUAGAUAUAUGGAGGAACACCAGUGGCGAAGGCGACUCUCUGGUCUGUAACUGACGCUGAGGCUCGAAAGCGUGGGUAGCAAACAGGAUUAGAUACCCUGGUAGUCCACGCCGUAAACGAUGAGUGCUAAGUGUUGGAGGGUUUCCGCCCUUCAGUGCUGCAGUUAACGCAUUAAGCACUCCGCCUGGGGAGUACGACCGCAAGGUUGAAACUCAAAGGAAUUGACGGGGACCCGCACAGGCGGUGGAGCAUGUGGUUUAAUUCGAAGCAACGCGAAGAACCUUACCAAGUCUUGACAUCC